GACGAACGCUGGCGGCGUGCUUAACACAUGCAAGUCGAACGGAAAGGCCCCUUUGGGGGUACUCGAGUGGCGAACGGGUGAGUAACACGUGAGUAACCUGCCCUUGACUUCGGGAUAACUUCAGGAAACUGGGGCUAAUACCGGAUAGGAAUCCUUGCUGCAUGGUGGGGGUUGGAAAGCUUCGGCGGUUUUGGAUGGACUCGCGGCUUAUCAGCUUGUUGGUGGGGUAGUGGCUUACCAAGGCUUUGACGGGUAGCCGGCCUGAGAGGGCGACCGGCCACAUUGGGACUGAGAUACGGCCCAGACUCCUACGGGAGGCAGCAGUGGGGAAUAUUGCACAAUGGGCGGAAGCCUGAUGCAGCAACGCCGCGUGCGGGAUGACGGCCUUCGGGUUGGAAACCGCUUUCAGCAGGGGCGAAGCUUGUGGUGACGGUACCUGCAGAAGAAGCACCGGCUAACUACGUG
rnacentral:rRNA from 1 species